GAAGAACGCUGGCGGCGUGCCUAAUACAUGCAAGUCGAGCGAACGGACGAGAAGCUUGCUUCUCUGAUGUUAGCGGCGGACGGGUGAGUAACACGUGGAUAACCUACCUAUAAGACUGGGAUAACUUCGGGAAACCGGAGCUAAUACCGGAUGAUAUUUUGAACCGCAUGGUUCAAAAGUGAAGGACGGUCUUGCUGUCACUUAUAGAUGGAUCCGCGCUGCAUUAGCUAGUUGGUAAGGUAACGGCUUACCAAGGCAACGAUGCAUAGCCGACCUGAGAGGGUGAUCGGCCACACUGGAACUGAGACACGGUCCAGACUCCUACGGGAGGCAGCAGUAGGGAAUCUUCCGCAAUGGGCGAAAGCCUGACGGAGCAACGCCGCGUGAGUGAUGAAGGUCUUCGGAUCGUAAAACUCUGUUAUUAGGGAAGAACAUAUGUGUAAGUAACUGUGCACAUCUUGACGGUACCUAAUCAGAAAGCCACGGCUAACUACGUG
rnacentral:rRNA from 1 species